GACAGAGGAGGCAAGCGUUGGUCGGAAUCAUUGGGCUUAAAGCGCGCGUAGGCGGCCUUGUAAGUGUCUUGUGAAAUCCCACGGCUCACCCGUGGAACUGCAGGGCAAACUGCAAGACUUGAGGUCGGUAGAGGCGCCUGGAACUCUAGGUGGAGCGGUGAAAUGCGUAGAGAUCUAGGGGAACGCCGGAGGCGAAAGCGGGGCGCUGGGCCGAUGCUGACGCUGAUGCGCGAAAGAGUGGGGAGCAAACAGG
rnacentral:rRNA from 1 species